AAUAUUGGACAAUGGGCGCAAGCCUGAUCCAGCCAUGCCGCGUGAGUGAUGAAGGCCCUAGGGUUGUAAAGCUCUUUCAACGGUGAAGAUAAUGACGGUAACCGUAGAAGAAGCCCCGGCUAACUUCGUGCCAGCAGCCGCGGUAAUACGGAGGGGGCUAGCGUUAUUCGGAAUUACUGGGCGUAAAGCGCACGUAGGCGGACUGGAAAGUUAGAGGUGAAAUCCCAGGGCUCAACCUUGGAACUGCCUUUAAAACUAUCAGUCUAGAGAUCGAGAGAGGUGAGUGGAAUUCCGAGUGUAGAGGUGAAAUUCGUAGAUAUUCGGAGGAACACCAGUGGCGAAGGCGGCUCACUGGCUCGAUACUGACGCUGAGGUGCGAAAGCGUGGGGAGCAAACAGG
rnacentral:rRNA from 1 species